UACGUAGGGGGCAAGCGUUGUCCGGAAUUAUUGGGCGUAAAGAGCGCGCAGGCGGUCGUUCAAGUCGAGUGUGAAAGCCCCCGGCUCAACUGGGGAGGGUCAUUCGAUACUGAUCGACUCGAAGGCAGGAGAGGGUAGUGGAAUUCCCGGUGUAGUGGUGAAAUGCGUAGAUAUCGGGAGGAACACCAGUGGCGAAGGCGACUACCUGGCCUGUUCUUGACGCUGAGGCGCGAAAGCUAGGGGAGCAAACGGG
rnacentral:rRNA from 1 species